UACGGAGGGGGCAAGCGUUAUUCGGAAUUAUUGGGCGUAAAGGGCGCGUAGGCGGCUAGAUGUGUCAAAGGUGAAAUCCCUCGGCUCAACUGAGGAACUGCCUUUGAAACUGUCUGGCUUGAGGCCGGGAGAGGGUAGCGGAAUUCCCAGUGUAGCGGUGAAAUGCGUAGAUAUUGGGAGGAACACCAGUGGCGAAGGCGGCUACCUGGACCGGUUCUGACGCUGAGGCGCGAAAGCGUGGGUAGCAAACA
rnacentral:rRNA from 1 species